rnacentral:rRNA from 1 species
AUUGAACGCUGGCGGCAGGCUUAACACAUGCAAGUCGAGCGGGGGAAGGUAGCUUGCUACUGGACCUAGCGGCGGACGGGUGAGUAAUGCUUAGGAAUCUGCCUAUUAGUGGGGGACAACAUCUCGAAAGGGAUGCUAAUACCGCAUACGUCCUACGGGAGAAAGCAGGGGAUCUUCGGACCUUGCGCUAAUAGAUGAGCCUAAGUCGGAUUAGCUAGUUGGUGGGGUAAAGGCCUACCAAGGCGACGAUCUGUAGCGGGGCUGAGAGGAUGAGCCGCCACACUAGGACUGCGACACGGCCCAGACUCCUACGGGAGGUAGCAGUGGGGAAUAUUGGACAAUGGGGGGAACCCUGAUCCAGCCAUGCCGCGUGUGUGAAGAAGGCCUUAUGGUUGUAAAGCACUUUAAGCGAGGAGGAGGCUACUUUAGUUAAUACCUAGAGAUAGUGGACGUUACUCGCAGAAUAAGCACCGGCUAACUCUGUGCCAGCCGCCGCGGUAA